GAGGAGAAGACGGACUGAAUCAGGAGAAUCAACUAAAACACUGAUUAGCAUCAUUCAACCAGUGAUUACCAGCCCUACCACCGCGGGAGGAGCGAGUUAGCAUUACCAGGCCUACCACCGUGGAGAGAGAGAGAGAGUUAGCAUUAUCAGCCCUACCACCGUGGAGAGAGAGAGAGUUAGCAUUACCAGCCCUACCACCGUGGAGGAGAGAGUUAGCAUUACCAGCCCUACCACCAUGGAGAGAGUUAGCAUUAUCAGCCCUACCACCGUGGAGAGAGAGAGAGAGUUAGCAUUACCAGCCCUACCACCAUGUGGAGAGAGAGAGAGAGUUAGCAUUACCAGCCCUACCACCAUGUGGAGAGAGAGUUAGCAUUACCAGCCCUACCACCAUGUGGAGAGAGAGAGUUAGCAUUACCAGCCCUACCACCAUGUGGAGAGAGAGAGUUAGCAUUACCAGCCCUACCACCAUGUGGAGAGAGAGUUAGCAUUACCAGCCCUACCACCGUGGAGAGAGAGAGAGUUAGCAUUACCAGCCCUACCACCAUGGAGGAGAGAGUUAGCAUUACCAGCCCUACCACCAUGUGGAGAGAGAGUUAGCAUUACCAGCCCUACCACCGUGGAGAGAGAGAGAGAGUUAGCAUUACCAGCCCUACCACCAUGUGGAGAGAGAGAGUUAGCAUUACCAGCCCUACCACCGUGGGAGGAGAGAGAGAGUUAGCAUUAUCAGCCCUACCACCGUGGAGAGAGAGAGAGAGAGUUAGCAUUACCAGCCCUACCACCAUGUGGAGAGAGAGAGUUAGCAUUAUCAGCCCUACCACCGCGGGAGGAGAGAUAGUUAGCAUUACCAGCCCUACCACCGUGGAGAGAGAGAGAGAGAGAGAGAGAUAGCAUUACCAGCCCUACCACCGUGUGGGAGGAGAGAGUUAGCAUUACUAGAGAGUUAAGAGGGUGAGGCAGGGAGAAACCAAGGAAAACACAAAAGAAAGGUGACACCUCAUGGAUUCCUGUCAGACGUCAAGAACCAGCCAUUCAGUCAGCUACAGAGCCCAGGUGAAGUCAGCCAGUCAGUCAGUCAGCUACAGAGCCCAGGUGAAGUCAGCCAGUCAGUCAGUCAGCUACAGAGCCCAGGUGAAGUCAGCCAGUCAGUCAGUCAGCUACAGAGCCCAGGUGAAGUCAGUCAGUCAGUCAGUCAGUCAGCUACAGAGCCCAGGUGAAGUCAGCCAGUCAGUCAGUCAGUCAGCUACAGAGCCCAGGUGAAGUCAGUGAGUCAGUCAGCUACAGAGCCCAGGUGAAGUCAGUCAGUCAGUCAGUCAGCUACAGAGCCCAGGUGAAGUCAGUCAGUCAGUCAGUCAGCUACAGAGCCCAGGUGAAGUCAGCCAGUCAGUCAGUCAGUCAGCUACAGAGCCCAGGUGAAGUCAGCCAGUCAGUCAGUCAGUCAGCUACAGAGCCCAGGUGAAGUCAGCCAGUCAGUCAGUCAGUCAGCUACAGAGCCCAGGUGAAGUCAGCCAGUCAGUCAGUCAGUCAGCUACAGAGCCCAGGUGAAGUCAGCCAGUCAGUCAGUCAGUCAGCUACAGAGCCCAGGUGAAGUCAGUCAGUCAGUCAGUCAGCUACAGAGCCCAGGUGAAGUCAGUCAGUCAGUCAGUCAGCUACAGAGCCCAGGUGAAGUCAGUCAGUCAGUCAGCUACAGAGCCCAGGUGAAGUCAGUCAGUCAGUCAGCUACAGAGCCCAGGUGAAGUCAGUCAGUCAGUCAGCUACAGAGCCCAGGUGAAGUCAGUCAGUCAGUCAGCUACAGAGCCCAGGUGAAGUCAGUCAGUCAGUCAGCUACAGAGCCCAGGUGAAGUCAGUCAGUCAGUCAGCUACAGAGCCCAGGUGAAGUCAGUCAGUCAGUCAGCUACAGAGCCCAGGUGAAGUCAGUCAGUCAGUCAGCUACAGAGCCCAGGUGAAGUCAGUCAGUCAGUCAGCUACAGAGCCCAGGUGAAGUCAGUCAGUCAGUCAGCUACAGAGCCCAGGUGAAGUCAGUCAGUCAGUCAGCUACAGAGCCCAGGUGAAGUCAGUCAGUCAGUCAGCUACAGAGCCCAGGUGAAGUCAGUCAGUCAGUCAGCUACAGAGCCCAGGUGAAGCCAGUCAGUCAGUCAGCUACAGAGCCCAGGUGAAGCCAGUCAGUCAGUCAGCUACAGAGCCCAGGUGAAGCCAGUCAGUCAGUCAGCUACAGAGCCCAGGUGAAGCCAGUCAGUCAGUCAGCUACAGAGCCCAGGUGAAGCCAGUCAGUCAGUCAGCUACAGAGCCCAGGUGAAGCCAGUCAGUCAGUCAGCUACAGAGCCCAGGUGAAGCCAGUCAGUCAGUCAGCUACAGAGCCCAGGUGAAGCCAGUCAGUCAGCUACAGAGCCCAGGUGAAGCCAGUCAGUCAGUCAGCUACAGUGCCCAUUAGCUCAUGCUGUGAAGGGUGAUUGAGUGUGCUGACAGGUUUUGUAGAGGACCUCUCCUCCAACCAGGUGAAUGGAGGUCCAGACCAG